rnacentral:rRNA from 1 species
GACGAACGCUGGCGGCGUGCCUAAUACAUGCAAGUCGAACGCAGUGGGGACGGGUGAGUAACACGUGGGUAACCUCCCAUCAGAGGGGAUAACACUUGGAAACAGGUGCUAAACCGAUACUGAUGGAUGGACCCGCGGUGCAUUAGCUAGUUGGUGAGGUAACGGCUCACCAAGACCACGAUGCAUAGACGACCUGAGAGGGUGAUCGGUCACACUGGGACUGAGACACGGCCCAGACUCCUACGGGAGGAAGCAGUAGGGAAUCUUGGGCAAUGGGCGAAAGUCUGACCGAGCAAUGCCGCGUGAUUGAAGAAGGUUUUCGGAUCGUAAAGCUCUGUUGGUAGAGAAGCGUUAUCUAACCAGAAAGCCACGGCUAACUACGUGCCAGCCGCCGCGGUAAUUC